UAGAGUCGGUUCCCAAAUGAUGCGCAGCAUCAUUUUUGCAUGGGACCGACGAUCUGCCGCCGAGGCAUCAGCCGAGGGGGCGGGCACUAUA
rnacentral:sRNA from 1 species